AGUUGUUUUGGUAUGAAUCAGCAUUAGUUUUGGAAUUCGGAAGUUCAUAGUUUCAAUAGGCGUGAAUUGGGUUACGAUUCGUAGAAUCAAUAUUGUUUAUGUGAUUUUUGGCCCCGAUUAGGUCCGUUAUGUGUUUUGAAACUUGUUGGUAUAUUUGGACGGGCCCUGAGUGUUAUUAUGAUCGAAUCCGCAACAAGUUUGGACUUUGUGUGAUUGCUGAAGGUUGUUGUGUCUAGUGCAAUCGCACCUGCGCAUUUUGGGUCGCAAGUGUGGUGCCUCAUGAGCGACUCUUGAGAUGUAGAAGCGGAUUUUGGCAUGCCCAGCUGGAACCGCAGGUGCGGUCCAUUUUUUGCAGAAGAGGAAGCGCAAGAGCAGAAGGUGCAUCGCAGGAGCGGAGUUGAGCAGGGAAAGGACCGCAGGUGCAGUCGAAACAUUGCAGAUGCGUGCUCGGAGAAGCGAGCCAUGUGUCGCAGAAGCGUUAGCGCGGAUGCGUUUGGGUGUCCGUAGAUGCGCAUUCUCCGAACUUAAGUCAUGGCCGCACAUGCGAUGGAAAUUCCGCAUGUGCAGAAUUGCAGAUGCGGUUGUGGGUUCGCAGGUGCGAAUUCCCUGGGCAGAAAAGGCCUAAUUUCGAGGGUUUGAUCUCAUUCUCAUUUUUGGGACUUAGAGAGCUCAGUUUGUGGCGAUUUUCGGAGAGAUUUUGAAGGAAAUCAUUAGGGUAAGAAAUUCUAACUCGGUUUUGGCUAUGUUACAUGAAUUUAUUAUUAUUUUCAUCAUUUAAUUAAUGUUUUGAGUUGGAAAUUUGGGGGAAAAAUUCUAAAAUUUCUUAGGCAAAAAUUUGGGCUUUUGAAAAGCGAUUUGAGGUCAGAUUUGAGUAAUUCUAAUAUGGUUGGAUUCGUUAUCAAAUGUGUAUUCAUAUUUUGUAAUUUGUUCGGGUUUCGAGACGCAGACCCGUAUUAAACUUUUUGAGUUGACUUUUUAUUUCUUUUCAAAGAUCGUAAUUUUAUUGUUCGAAAUUGUUUUCUAUAGUUUAUAUUUAUGGUAUGAAUUUGUUUUGGCUAGAUUCGAGCCGUUCGGAGUUGAAUAAUCGAGGAAAAGGCCUACUAGUGGAUUGAGUUAGUGUGUUUUGAGGUAAAUGUCUUGCCUAACUUUAUGUGGGAGAAUUUUUCCUUAGCAUUGGUACAGGUUUGUGCUAAUUGUGCUACGUGAAAGCCGUGUACACAAGGUGACGAGUGUGUACACGAGCUAAAUGUGGAAUUUGACUGACUUUAAUUAUAUAGAUUCCUUUCAUGACUUAAUUGAGUUUCCUUAACAUGUUAUAUUCAUCAUCAUUAGUCUAUCUUCACAUGCUCUAAUUGUAUUAUCUCUUACUUGUUAAUUGCUCUACAUGUUUAGUUGAAGUUGUUGUUUCCUCCAACCCUUAUUAAUUAUUUAACCGUGAAUUCUUUAUUUGGAGCUGUCAAUUUUGGAUCAUCAUGUUGUUAAGAUUGGUAUUGAGUUAUAAAGGUCGUGAUUCAUAUUGAGGUAAGGUCAUAAAGUGUGAAAUACUAUUCUUGUUGAGUUACUCAUUUACAAUUGUUAUUGUUGAUACUCUUGUGCAUAGUAUGGUCGAGCCAUGGGCUACUUGUUGUGAAAGUACUAUCGUUGUUGGUUUUUUGGCAAGUUGUGAUAUUGGGCACUUGAGGUGCGAACUGUGAUACGUUGUGAUAUUGAUAAGCAUACAGUGAUAUAAUAUUUUAGGGUUGAAACACAUGCGGUGAGAUAAGGUGGGCUAAAAUGCGGGAAGCUAUUUCGGGAAAAUAAUUUUCAAAACUAAAUGCAAGGCUCCCGCGAUGACUUAAGGAAUAUUGCGAAAUGAUUCGUGAUUUGAGAGUACGAUGCGGUACCUUGGUAGUGACUCUUGUUGAUGCUUUUUUAUUACUUCACUUGUGUUUUGUUGCCUUGUUCUGUGCCAUAACAUUCCUUGUUUUAUUCCGUGAUGCAUUAUUUGUCUUAUUCAGUGUAGCCAAUCUUAGUAUACUUCUUGCUUGUUUCAAUUCCAUUGUUAUUAUUAUUACACUGUUAAUUACUCGUUAAGAUUUUUAUUAUUCUAGUAGGCCCUUGGCCUGACCUCGUCAUUACUCUACCGAGGUUAGGCUUGGCACUUACUGAGUACCGUUGUGGUGUACUCAUGCUACGCUUCUGCACAUCUUUUGUGCAGAUCCAGGUACCUCCUACUAGCCCAGGCACCAGUGAGUUGAUUUCGUACGUGGAGACUUCAAGGUCCACUUGCCGACGUCUGCUGGCCUCGGGGUCACCCUCUACCUACUUCUAUAUCUUCCUUCUUUUAUUAGAUACAGUUGUAUAGGGAUGAUUAUGAUAUUGUUGUAGAGCUUGUGACUCGAUUUCACCAGGUUUCAGAGAAAUUGUAAAUGCUGAGUUGUGGAGUUUUCUUUAUUAAAAUUGUUGAGUAUUUGAGAUUUUAUUUGUUAUUUCAGUUAUAUUCCGCAUGUUUGUUAGACUUACUUAGUCUUACAGAUUUGUCAUCAUAACAUCCUACGGAGAAAAAUUGGGAUCGUAACAUAAAGCAAAUUGCAAGACCGUAUGUCCGAUGACCUAGGGAUUCUAGGAGUAGAUUUACUUAGAUUCGAGCACGAGUUGAGGACAACUGUGAGAUGGUAGUCAGCCUCGUAUGCUAAUCUCUAAGACUAAAGCGUUCAAAAGCAGGCUCGGAGGAGUACAAAACAUCCCUCGCAUGCUCAAUAUAUGGGAUAGUGUAUGAUCAAGACUUGAUGGAAAAGCGGUGACAGUUGAAUAAAGUAGUAAAAUAGGCAUGUGGAAAAGAAUAUACAACUUAUAAAAUAAGCAUAUGGAAAAGAUAUACAACAUGUAGCAUGUGAGAAAGAAUAUACAAAUUAUAGCAUGAAAAAGAACAUACGACUUAGGCAUGUGAUACAAAAAUAAAAAUUACAAUAUUGGAGAACCUUUAAUCCCUCAAAUAAUCAAUCAAGUCCACUGUGGCUUAGAACCUGUCAGUCCCCAGCGGCGUCGCAAUGUUAUGUCUAUUUUACACAGGUUAAACAAAGCAUAACGUAUAGCACCACACAAGGUUAUAUAAUUAUGGAGUUGCCACCUAGUAUUUAAAGUGUACUAGGAUACCUAUAUUGACAUAAAACACUAUAAUGAUAAACUCCGGUUGUGGUCUACAAAAAACUAUUGAGGCUCUAACUAAGGGUUCGUGUUAUUUCAAGGGGAAGGGGUUAGGCAUCCCUCAAGAUCCACAAAGUAUGGUUCUCGGUUGGACUUAUUAAUUAAAUGAGUGAUCAUUUAAAAAUGAUGAAUUAUUAUUUACAAUUAUUAUGAAAAGAAUUUGAACAAAAGAAAUGAUCGAUUAUGUGAUAAAUAAAAAAUAUAAGCAUUUAUGGGUAGUAAAAUAUGUAUAAUGAUAAGGUGUUAAAGAAUUAUAUAUUUAAAUGAUUAAGUAUGUAAAAGAAUUACGAGAACCAAAGUAAGAAUAAAUAUACGAAAGAAUUGGUAACUAUAUUGAUUUGAUUAGGUGAAAUAAAUAAGGUAAAUGAUAUAAAAUAUAAGGGGUUAAUAUAAAAUGAUUUUAGAAAUAUAACAUGCUAAAAGUGUUGAUCUUACUAGACAAUUUAUUAUCCCAAAGGUAUGUAUCUAAAUCUAUCUAUCUAUCUAUAUUAUUAUAAAAACACGAAUCUUCCACGCUAAAUGUUGAACGACGAAAAUAUUCUCAAAAUAUUGUCCGACUUUUAUACCCCUUAAUAACUCAAUUAUUUCUUACAAAGAAGCAACCUCACGUUGGAUAAAUUUGUAAUACAUAGUAAGAAUUUUAUCCAAUACCUUCGACUAUGAGGUCAACUAAUAAUAGAAUUAUUCGCUAACUUUGUAAUAGAAUGUGAAGUCCUAAUGCCUUACUAAUCCCAGUUGAAUAAUAACAUCGAUCGGAAGGUGUAAUAAUUUGCGUGGAGUAUGAAUUUCCAGUGCUCUAUCAAGGGUAACUUUAAACUCUCUUUACUUUUCCAUUAGAGUAUCGGUUGGCUGCUAGCAAUAUUAACAUAUUACUUUAAUUGUUAAUCCCUUUUUCGACCAUAAUUUUUUGAUUUCAGUACUCUCUCUCCGAAAAUAGUUUGAUUAAUAUAAAGCUUGAAUCUCUUUAUGGCAAUUUGGAUUUCUCUUCGUAGAUAUAUGACAAACAUGUUGUAACAUAUUAGGACUCUUAUCCAGUUCAUAAUUUAUAUAAUUAUAAAUUCAUGCACAUAUAUCCAAAGGCAAAAGCUAAGUUAUUUUAAAUAUGUGAAGUUGUAGUAUUCAUAGUAUUUGUUAUAUUUCGUUCCAACCUAAUUUUGGCAAGGUUUAAGAGAAGAACAGUAACAAGAGAAGCCAUUAGAUCUAAGCAUCGCACUAGUAUAUAAAAAAACCCAUGAAGCGCUGGAGGUUCAGGUACAUUGGAGGCAUUACCAACCACCACCUAAUCCUAUUUCACAAAUAUCAACUGGAUUAUAUUAUAAUGUUUAAUUGUUGUAUUUUGACUACGACUCUUCAUUAAAGGGCAAUAAUUUCAUUAAUUUAAUUUUAACCCUCUGUGUUGAUAAGUAUAUAUUUAGUCAUCUGUUGUCGAAAAUCUUACAUUUUGAAUUUGACAAUAUUAUUUUGGUAAAGAUAGAAAUAGAAGACUUAGAAGUUGCUACAUAAGACAGUACUUGAAGGAAAGAAAACAGAUAUUGCAGUUCCGAUAGUUAUUUAUUUAUUUAUAAGUUGUUAAAAAUAAUUCUUUCUUAUGUAUAUUUUUUUAACAAAUUUAAUUUAUUGUUUGUGCAUAAAUAAUUGGUUGAAGAUAUACGUGCAACACACGUACAUAGAAACUAGUAUUAUUUAAAAAGUGGGAAGUCCAUAAGUUAAAAGUUAAAUUAUUAAAAUGCCCUUUAAAAAAAAACUAAUUAGUCUAUUAAUAUAAAUAAAUAAAUAAAAAGUUGUGCACAUUUAUUCUAAGCCAACGCUGGGAUACGAACGGGUGUGUUCCACAUCAAAUACUGCCGCUUCAAUGUAAAUUCGUACGACAUUAAUUUCUUUGGCCAAAAGUUUCUUGGUUGUGAACUAUUCUCCAGAAAGAAAUUUAUAUCAAAGAAUAAGAGAUUGAAAAAUAAGAUGUUGUACAAUACUUGUAUUUUUCGUCUUGUACUUUUCUUUUCAUGUACUCAAAUUCUCAUCCAUUUGUAUACUUCUAUAUACGGUUAAAAUCGGGCCUACCCAAUUUUACUAUCUGAUCGAGGCAAGGGAAUUACAUUGAAGGCCAGCUUUGUAGUGGAUCAGACCGGAGCACAAAGACAAUGUAUCGAAUUCGAGGGUCGAGGCUCCUAUAUAUCUAGAUCGAGGCCAGCAAUGAUCGAGAUUAAAUAUGGCAGACUUCGAGAAAAGAGCGAUAACGGAAAAGUGAGAUAUUCGUGACCGUUCGAAGAUCACGCGGAAAUUCCAGAACAGAUCAAAUCAAGGCCGGUUGCUUAGGCUAAUCAUGAGAUUUACUUCCGUAAUUGGAAUUUUACCAUAGAUAGGAUUCAUCUGCUAUAUAAAGAGGGUUUUGAUCAUUUUGUAAGCAUCUUACAUUGACGCAUAUCAAAGCAAUACAAUACUUUCUAGCUUACAUCUUACAUUGAUGCAUAUCAAAGCAAUACAAUACUUUCUAGCUUAUAUCCUUGUUCACCAGUUAGUCUGUUUCUUAACUAUUCUGAUCACCGAUCAGUUCGAGGGCACUUAAGCUCGAGGGCUGAACCACGUUUCAAGACUGGUUUGCUUUAUCUCAUUGGUUAUCUUUACUGCUAAUCUUUACGUUUAUGAGUUGGUAUUAGGUCAAAUCACUUAUCCUUAAAACCACAUUAUAAGUUUAAUUGUUAUCCAAUUUUUAGGGUAAACAACUUUGACUUUUUAAUUUGGCACAUAUUUGUUUUUCACUCUUUACUUUUUAAUUGGAAGAAUAAAUUUUUAUGUAAUUAGCUUAGAUUUCAGUCAAACAGUCACAAAAGCAACAAAAGUGCGAAAGGAUAAUUGUAAUAGGCAAAAUUAUAAUCCAAAUGUCUGAAUGAAAUUAUCAUAUGGCCAAUGCAUGUCUCGUGAAUGCCAUUGCGGAAGUUACUUCCCAAGAGAACAAUAUCUUAUUUUAUUUCUGGAAAUCCCCUUGCCCCUCUUCAACAUGAGGCAACAGCUUUUGACUUGGAUGGCAAAAGGCACAGUGUCAGGGUAAUGAAUUAAGAAGAAAAUAACAACACCAACAACAAAAAACGGGUUCAACAUUCUUAACCCUUCUCUUUUAUUUGUUAAACUUCGUCUUGUGAUUUUGGUAAAAUUGAUUUCUAAAAAUGUCAUCGCAGAUUUUCUGGGAUGAUAUCAUAAUAUACAUUAUGCAUUGUGUACAUGUCAGCCUGUUAUAAUUAGGAAAAAUAUAUGUUUGAAAGUUAAAAUUGGCUUACAUAGAUACUAAAUGUAUGAAAUCAUUGAAAAUUUACUUUGUGAGUAGUGUAACGAUAUAAAUAUGUUGUUUGGAAGAAUAAUAUUUAUAUUUGAAAGUGUUUAUGUUAUUUUGAGAUCAGUUGAAUUUGUUUUUGGUUUAAAAAAUGUGAGACAUUAUUUAGAUGUUUUUGUGGUUUUCACUAAAGGUUAAAGAUAUAAAUAGAUAUCUAUUAAUAUAUCUUUAAGUUAUUGGGUUUUAUGUAUUGACACUUGCUGAUAUAUGAUAUCUAUUUUCUCUCUCUCUUUCUAUAUAUAUAUAUAUAUAUAUAUAUAUAUAUAUAUAUAUAUAUACUNNNNNNNNNNNNNNNNNNNNNNNNNNNNNNNNNNNNNNNNNNNNNNNNNNNNNNNNNNNACUGCUGGAUAACGGAAAAGUAUGAAGCAAUGAGUGAUACAGAUACACCUAUGAGCUUUUCUUCUCUUCAGAUAGUUUUAUGUUCAUAAUUUAGGAAUUUUGAGAAGACUACUAAAUUGAUGAGAUCGGUCGGCAACUUCGUCUCUCAAAUGAGCUCUUCAAUCAUGUGCAGAUCGUUUAUUAGUAAAACGUCACCUGCAAUUUAUUUAGUAUUAAAAUAGGUCAAUAAGUCUGGAAUAGUGCAAGCAGGUAAAGAAGUUCCAACAAAUUAGUACCACACAUUUUAAGUGCAAGCAGGUGACGCAGUUGCCUUGGUCAUCUCUGAUUUACUGAAGUCCGUGAGUCAUAUUUAAUGUAUCUGGUUUAUACUAUUAUAAAUAAGAGUAUUGCUAGCUUAUUUAUGUGUGGAGAUUUUUAAUAAAAUAUUUUCCGUCACUAUCUAAGAUAUUUUUAUUUUCUUUGGUGGUUGCAGCACAAUGAACGAGCUUGUUGACAAAUUGAACACUGCAUAUGACAGACAUAGCAGGAGGAGUGGGCGAACUGCUUUUAUUUGAAAAUUUAAAUAUUACCAAGAUUACCUUUUUGCUCUUAUUGAAUCUCCUUUGUAGCAGUAGCUACAUGUUUUGCUGAGUUUAGGGAUCCUAUAGGAAUCGAAGUACUGAGAAGUUUGCUUUUCUUUUGUCUCUCUGUAGUCGUAGUUGCCCAUAUAUAUAACCUUGAUUCUUGUGGCACCAUUAUAUAGGUGCGUUAAAGUGAUAAGAGGAUUUUGGCUUCAGAAGUUUUACUCAGUAUGCUUGGGCCUAUUGUUGCCCGGUAGUAGUAGUGUUCUGCAAGUACUAAUUUAAUUUGAGAUUCUGGGCAUGUGUUCUUCCUUUCCCGUAACCCAACCCUUUUAAUACCAAGUUAAUCUUCAUCCUACUUUCUUGGUGAAUGUUAGUCUUUCCUACCCUCAAAAUUACUUUCAAAUAUGCAUUUUUUUUCCUGUUGAAAUGAAUUUUAGUUUGAUUUAUACAAAACGUUAUUAAAAAGUUGCCCUAUCUUAUCGAGUAUGAGUUCUUCAAAUCUUACAAGUUCACUUGAAGUGCAAAAUAACACUCUUUUAAUCUUGUUAAUCAAUCCAAUUCUUUUGUGGUGAUGACAAAAGGAACCCAUUGCGAUCAAAGAUAAUGUUUGAAUAUGACAGACUGCAAAUAAGCUAACGCAUUUCUCUUGAAAGUUGAGAAGAGAUCCUUUUUAACAAGAUAAUAUCCAUUGCAAUUUAAAGGGUUUAUACAACAGAGAAUGAUAAAGCAAGAUAAUCGUAACAUUACAAUUCAGGCUGCAAAUAAGCAUAACGUACAUCACAGUGAAGUUGUAUUUUAGACAAACUAAGUACAAAGUAGAGAACAAAACUCGGCCAACUUGACCAGUGGGAGGUCCUUCUUCAAUUCGACUCUACCAUAAGUGGAAGGAAAUUCACAACUGUGAUUAAAAGGUUAUCUAACAUAACGUCCAAGACAAGAGAUAAGCUUUGCAAUUUGGACCAAGGGACACCUCUGAGCUUAUCUAUCCAGUGGAUAGAGAAGUGUUCCGUUGUUGGCUGUAACUUUAAAUUCUUGACACUCUUGGGCAGAAAUAAUUCAAGAUAUUGUAAAUCAAAAACAUCAAGUAUGUUCCCUCGAAUUUUUAUGGACAGGGAUUGCAGGAAAUAUAAGAGCUCAUAAGGUUUACCAACAAAGGAAACCAGGGAGAAGUCACACAGUACAGAAGCAACUUUUUGUUGGUGUAAGCACAAUGGACUUCCAAUUAUCUUGACAGUUCUGUUUUCUGAAAGUAAUGAUAAUGAACAGAGUUAAUAAAUGGCAAGUGCAAAAGCUCAAAGUUCAGUUUUCUAUACCCAGACAGCCUAAGAAAGAUCGUCGAAAGUGAAUGAAAUUUUUUUUAAUAAAAGAUUAGCAGAUAAAUGAAUUGGCUCCCAAAUAUAUUUAUACACCACAAGUUACUUAAGCUAACAAAUCUGCUUUUGGAAGUUGAAAUGUAAUGGCUCAAGUGAACUAUUACAAUUAAGUAAAAUUUAUUUUUGCAGAGAGAAUUCCAGGAUAAUAGCGUUUUAAUCCAUAUACAAGACCCCCUCUAAUUGAGUUUCUCAAACUAUAUCUCUAAUAACAAAAAACUUACACAUCUCAUAAAAAUUUAUGCACUCUUUUUAUAAAACAACAUAAGUUUGGGCCCGGGCUCAGCACGGGCCAUUCUACACUAGUAUAUAUAGAAGCCGCUUGGGAAGCAUGUCGGGGUCGUCAUGCCUGCUUACCAAGGGCUACUUUGGUCUUUUACAAAAAUUUUGCUGAAAACUACACGUGUAGAGCAACUUGACGGGUGGUGUGAUGUGAGAACUCCCCGCUGCAUAUAUGUCAGCAAGAAAGAGGAUGAACAAAGGCAGAUUAUUUUUUUUCUCUGCUUCAUCUUCAGAUUUCGUUUUAUCUUAAAUUGAUCGAUUUUGCUGCUACUUUCGACAUCACCGGUUAAUCGAAGGUCAGUCACUUUCCUCCCAAGGUUUUAUCACCAAGAGAUCUGUAAAAUCUCAAUGCUAAAUCGUGUUUUAGGGACGCUUCUUCUGCUGAUUUUGUGUGGGAAUCUAAGCUGCCUUUGAAUUAUUUAUGCUAAGUUUGUCGACCCAAUUAUUUUGAUGGUGGCACAAAGGUCCGAUCUUUACCCUUCUUAUAUUACAUCUUUAUUAUGGGAAAAGUAUUCAUUGUUAAUUCCCAAUUUAUUUGUGGGAUAUACUGGGUUUUUUGUUGUUGUAAUUUCCAAUUUAUUUGCAUAUAUGGGGUUUUGUUGAUAUCCUUUGAAUUUUCUUGAAAGAUAGAAUUUGUUUGAUAGGAAAAUAAGAAAAGUUAUGUUGAAAAUGAUUGAACAAAAUUUAGGUGAAAUGGGUUUGUCUAUUUUAAAGGAAAUACCUAUGGUAUAUGCGUUUUCUGAUUAAAAAUUUUGUAUAAUUGUUGAGAUUGGAACAGAUAAUCUAAAGUUUUAUAUUUUGUUUUAAAGAUGAGUUUUAAUAUCAUCUUUUAUUUUUCUGUUUCGCUUUGCUCUAUAAGUGUUUGACAAAAUUCUUCAAUGAAUCAGGCCUUCGACUAGACUUUUAUUAUUAUCUUUCGAUUAAUUUAUUGCUUUCCAUAGAAAGAAGGGGCUGGUAAUUUGAGUUUAGGUACAUCAUGGGGGUUGAUGAUUCCAUAUUCCGCCAAUUGGUUUUCAAAUGUGCUUGAUUUUCGCUAUUAAGAAUUCAUUUUCAUGGUUCGGCAGUAAACUCUUUUGCCCAGGCAGAAUCUGGAGUGGUUAAGUUUUUCUCGGUUUGGUGAGUUUUUCCAAAAUAAAAAUAUUUCCAUCUUAGAUGCUCGUAUUCAUGCUACACAUGCAUGUCCCAUUGUGAAUUACAUAUUAAUAUUAAAUUAUGCUCUUGUACUGUUUCGUAUACAUAAUAACAUAUAUUGAAAUUUAUACGUAAAUCAUGGAAUGUGAGGUCAACCAUAUUCUCAUUAUUAUUUACAACCCUAAAGGUUUACGUUGAGAAAGGAGCGCUUAUAGAGUAGUGUUAUGUGUCUCAUAUAUUAUAGUAAAGCCAACUAACAACUGAAGAAACAAAAAAUAUUGAAAAAAAUUACUCUUUGAUAGAAUAUUUAUUGUUUAGUGUAAUUAGUACAUAGAUGAUGAAUCGUUUUGACGUGAGAUCUUUAGCAUUGUUUCAUUCAAAGAAAUUUUAACUCAUUUAGUAAACAUUGUGCAUACUAAAAUGUUUUACUCGAUAAUGGAGUUAUUGCCCGAAAAGAGUACAAAAUAUGAAAAAAGAUAAACUAUUAACAAAUGAAAGAUAAGUUAAAAGUACAAAAGCUCUCAUAAAAACUGUUCAUUUGAUUUACUAUAUAGCUAGAUAAGUUAAUGUAAUUAUGCAAUUUCUAAUUUCAAAAUGUAGGUUUGAUCAACUAUUACUUUAUCAUGAGAUUUUGUUAAAAAUGCCUAUGAAAUUUCUUUAAAAAAAUAAAAGAUAAUAAACCAAUCAACCACACCAUUCAAAAAAUACCGAAAUUGAUAAUGUAUAUGUUUCCUGCACAUAUCAAACUUUACUUUUGAUAUAAAGCUAAUGAGACUUAAUUUGUUGCUUUUAAAUCCAAACUUAGUACAUAUUUUCUAAUAGAUUUCUUUUGUAGCUUAAUUUCUCCCUAACACUAUUUGUUCGAGUCAGCGUUAAUGUACAUUUUCUAUUGGUUUCCUUUAUAGAUUAGUUGCUCAAGGGGAAAUGUAAUUUGCUAUUAAUUUUUUUUCUAUUUUACCAAAAGGAAUAUUUUACUAAAUCAUGUAUUAUAUGACGUGGUAUACACGUACAACGCACGUGCCGAGAGACUAGUAAUAUAAUAAAAAUGCGUCUAAAAUUAGAUGAGAAAAGUGUCUGGAAAAUAUUGUCACACCCCCUUUUUAACCAAACCUUACUAAACCCUCUUAAAAUAAUAAAACGAUUUAGUAAAAGCUUGAAAAAGGUUUUCAAUUUGAAAAGUGACAAAAUUGUGUGUUCAAAAGGAUUAACUCAGAGUCGCCACCUAAUAAAAGAAAAAUAAAAAUAAAAAUAAAAUACUGCAAGCUCUACUUUUGGCCUCCAAAUAUAAGUACUACGGGGCAUUCCCGGAAUAAAAUAUAUACAAGUCCUUCGGGGCAUUCCUCGGAUAAAUUUAACUAAGGGAACGACCUCUCGCCUCGAAACUAACAAAAUUCCUAAGGCUUGCUUACCCAAGUGUGGUCGGCCUAAGCAUGCUACUAGCGAUUAGAACAAUAAAAUAAAAUAGUGAACAUGUUCUCUAAAUUUCAAUUCUGUUUUCUUUAAGAUCCCAACUCCCCGGCCAAAUCAUCAAGCAAGCAUUAAUAUGGAUCCAACAAAACGACACAGCAGAAAGCAUUCAAAACAACUGAAGAGACAAAAUGAAGGAAAGUUGAAACAACUAAUAAUGGUAAAAUGGAUCAGAAGCAUCGGAAGAGCCAUUAAAGACUUCCCAACACCCCGAGUCCUUAUUAAAUCCUCAACUUUGCUGCGGCCCCAUCCCGAAAGGCUCAUAAUUUAAUCACACAAAAUAAUCGAUCCACGUCUUUUUUACUCCAACAUUUAUCAAGUUACCCCAACAAAAUACUAAGAUGAUUCAUAUGGCAGCACACUCCUUAAUCUCCUGGGACUGAAAAUACUUUCUAAUCUACUAGAAGUAACAUUACUACUGCAUGAAGGAUUAAUUUUAAACUAAAAAGAUCUCUUCGUCUCAUUUUAAUUCCACAUAACGCUCAUUUACAAAGCAAACUUUCAAUCAUAACUUGAACCAAAGAAAUACUUCAAACACAUCAAGCUAGAUACAUCGACAACCAAACGAGACAAAAUUCAGAAGGAAGUCAGAAAAGACUCAGUGAAGCCACGAAUGGACUUGUUAACAGCCUAUUAAACUUUCCAAUCAGAUCAUUUCAGUUCCUUGACUUACCCUUCCUGUUCUCAGUUCCUUAAGGCCGUAUGAUCAGAUUCUAAUAAUAGAAGAAAACAAGAACAAGUUAUUAUUUAUUUUCAGAGGAAGGCCAACCAAUUAAGGCAUUGACAAACAUGCAUAUGACUCCAACAGCUCGGUUAUGAUUUAUAUAGGUUAACACUAAGUCACUCGUACUAGAAAAUCAAAAAACUAGACGGAAGACGCGAGAAUACACGUCGCUGAUUCAAAUUCAUUUUACAGUUACAACGCCUAAUAGACCAUCUGUUUCAAAUUGAGAAUAUCUUAACUCAAGAAAUACUUCAACACCAUAAUAACGGUUAAAAGCAUUCAAGGCAUAGAAAAAAAAACCAUUCGGAUCAACUAUCACUAACCGAGCAUGCUUAAACCAAUCAAACAGUGAGAUCAGAGAAUUCCAAUGAAACAGCGAAGAACAAACUAUAUUCCUAUUUCUAGCAGCCAAACCAACAUACGAGCAGUACGACGGAACACAACAAUCGACUAAACAGAGCAGAACAGUAUGAGCAACAUACGAGCAGCACGAGCAGAACAGAAUCGCACGCUAAGAGAAGUCAUCCAACAUAUCCAAGCGGAAACAGACUGGAAAACAUGGACACUGAAGCAUGAAAAUGAAACAGAACACAAGUAACAGACGAAGAUCCAAUCUAACUAAAAUCACACACGACAGGGAAGACAAAAAUGAACCUGUUGAAGCUUAAGCUUUCGAUAGAACAGAAGAUUCGGCGUAUACAAAGCUUUUACUCCAAAUUCCAGCAAAAUAACAGCAAUAUCGCGAACCAGUAGCAGGACAAAACAGCAACGAAAAUGGAUUUGGAACCACGAACAAGAACCUCACGAGCAGUCAACGGACAUUAACUAAACUCCAUUCUUGUUGAACAAAUCAGAGGCUAAUAUACUUUUUUUUUUAAUAUUUUCUAGCCCUCUCGUUUUCCGAACUCUCUCUUCUCUGAUUUUUCUUCGAAAAUUCUCUCCAAAAAAAACCCCCGAAUUCCUCUGAUUUCUCUCUUUUUAUAGUUCGAAAUCGAACAAAUGGAGGGUCUAGAUUGACAUUCAUUCAAUCUACGGCCCCCAUUCAUUCGAUUCGAACUUGGAGAGCAAGAAAACGCGUAGAAAUGAUGAAGCUUCGUACGGAGUGUGACGUGGAAGAAGGAGAGAGGAGCAGGGGAGGGGACCAGCGGAUUCGGGGUGUCUCUGGCGGGUUUGGGUGGGCAGAGAUGGGUGAGGGUGGCGGAUGGUCUUGAGAGCU
rnacentral:lncRNA from 1 species